AACGGGUGAUGAGGAAUUGUAAUUGAUCCUAACUAACAAAAAUUGCAUGCAAAUGGAUUCACAGUGGUUUCACAGGGAAAUAAAGGAGUGCUGUUAGCAAUGUACACACUCUUUGGUAAUAUUUAGCAGCCACUUGGUUUAUGUUGUUUAUGCGAAAUAAUUAGGUACAGUAAAACACAUCGUACGAAUUUGAGCGAAAGCAAACGUAGAAUUGGAUUUUACUGCACCUAUUUAAUUAGCACCAGGUGAAUCUAUCCCAUUUCUCAUAGUAAUAUCCUCAAUUUAGUAUAACUUCCACACAACUACAGUAGUACACCGAUGCAAAGGCAAGAGCCUUUGGGAAAUAAUUGAAAAUAUUUGACAAAUCAUUUCUGCUAUGAAGUACAUACCACAUUCAUUGUCGCCUCUAUCAUUUGUACAAAACAAUACAUCAUUUAGAACUGAUAAUUACCUCCAGAGAGCCUCCAGACGAGAGAUAUUCUGAGAUUCCUAGUUGAUCUUGGGUCGAUUCCUUAGUCGAUGUAGCACUUGUCUUUAUGUUGAAUAUGAUGUCACUUUCCACUUUCACUGCACACAAAGCAACAUCACAUCCUUUGCUAUCAUUAAUAAUCUAUCGUUACGCGAAGAUCACACCGAAGUCAAGGGUGAAACGUAUUUUGUGACAAAAGUAGCGUAGUAAUUAAAUAAAAUAUUUGCUACACCACUUCUGUAACAAAGAACAUACCACAUUCGAUUGUUCACACCUCAGACUGUCAAAGACUGUCUGAAUAUUAUGUUGUCAGACUCGGAUAUCGACACAACUCUUUCAGAUAUAAACGAGAUAGAAACAAUACUAGCUCUAACGAAGCACUUAGCACGAUUUUUAUAGUUAUCUGUCAAAACACAUGUACUCACUAUUAAAAAAAUACUUUCGCCACGUAAAGAAUCUUCAGAUAAAAACAACUGACACGAUAAAACGUUUAUACGCACACUUCGAAGUAUUGAUGAAAGGUACUACAGGGUUAGAUAUGUACUGCGUAACACUUCAUACGAGAGUACUUAACUAACCGAGUGGCACAUUUGACCAGCAACAUCGUUGAUAUUUUCACUACUGACGAAUGCAUUGGGCGACCGGUAUUUCGCAGAGACAAAGAAUACUUACGAUCAUUUACUAUGCAAGAAUCUAAUAUUUAAAACUAAUUUACUGCUACACGAUUGGGAGACAUUUCCUUCUCCCACUAUUCAGAUACACCUUAUCCCGGGUGUACUCGGUAAUAAUCGUUGAGACCUUCGUUAUACACAACGGGUGAUGAGGAAUUGUAAUUGAUCCUAACGAACGAAAAUUGCAUGCAAAUGGAUUCACAGUGGUUUCACAGGGAAAUAAAGAAGUGCUGUUAACAAUGUACACACUCUUUGGUAAUAUUUAGCAGCCACUUGGUUUAUGUUGUUUAUGCGUAAUAAUUAGGUACAGUAAAACAAAUCCUGCGAAUUUGAGCGAAAGCAAACGUAGAAUUGGAUUUUACUGCACCUAUUUAAUUAGCAGCAGGUGAAUCUAUCCCAUUUCUCAUAGUAAUAUCCUCAAUUUAGUAUAACUUCCACACAACUACAGUAGUACACCGAUGCGAAGGCAAGAGCCUUUGGGAAAUAAUUGAAAAUAUUUGACAAAUCAUUUCUGCUAUGAAGUACAUACCACAUUCAUUGUCGCCUCUAUCAUUUGUACAAAACAAUACAUCAUUUAGAACUGAUAAUUACCUCCAGAGAGCCUCCAGACGAGAUAUUCUGAGAUUCCUAGUCGAUCUUGGGUCGAUUCCUUAGUCGAUGUAGCACUUGUCUUUAUGUUGAAUAUGAUGUCACUUUCCACUUUCACUGCACACAAAGCAACAUCACAUCCUUUGCUAUCAUUAAUAAUCUAUCGUUACGCGAAGAUCACACCGAAGUCAAGGGUGAAACGUAUUUUGUGACAAAAGUAGCGUAGUAAUUAAAUAAAAUAUUUGCUACACCACUUCUGUAACAAAGAACAUACCACAUUCAAUUGUUCACACCUCAGACUGUCAAAGACUGUCUGAAUAUUAUGUUGUCAGACUCGGAUAUCGACACAACUCUUUCAGAUAUAAACGAGAUAGAAACAAUACUAGCUCUAACGAAGCACUUAGAACGAUUUUUAUAGUUAUCUGUCAAAACACAUUUACUCACUAUUAAAAAAAUACUUUCGCCACGUAAAGAAUAAUCUUCAGAUAAAAACAACUGACACGAUGAAACGUUUAUACGCACACUUCGAAGUAUUGAUGAAAGGUACUACAGGGUUAGAUAUGUACUGCGUAACACUUCAUACGAGAGUACUUAACUAACCGAGUGGCACAUUUGACCAGCAACAUCGUUGAUAUUUUCACUACUGACGAAUGCAUUGGGCGACCGGUAUUUCGCAGAGACAAAGAAUACUUACGAUCAUUUACUA